UGUCGCUUAAUCAUCUAGGAGUAUAGAUUAUCACUUCCUAGGAUGAGAAUUUGAUUAUUAAAUGUUGAGAAUGAUGUAUUGAGACUUAGGGCUUCACAAAGAUGGUAACUUUAGCAUAAAAACUGCUUGUAAAAGGGUUGAAACGAUUAGAAAACCUAUGAAUGGAUAGAAUAUGAUUAUUGGGAUUAAUAAUAGCAUGAAUUCACGCUUAGUGAUAGUUCACCCAUUUGAAAAAGGGUAGAAGUAGUUGGGUUCUCUUCCCCAAUUGUUGUUUGUUGAGUAGAUGGUCCAUUACUCACUUAGCGUUAUCAUUGCUAGACUUUGAACGUUCUGAAGCUUUGCGAAAGGGGAAAGCUAUCGCGGAGUGAUUGCAUUGUCCCAGUUCUGCUUUGAGAUUGUGAUCCAGAGACGUCUACCAGACCUCAUAUAUAGCGUGAGGCCAGUUUUCUACAGAUUUGAGGGUGAGCUCCUAUCUAUGCCAGGCAGCCUGAAGAUAUUUCUCAUUUCGGAUGUCUAUUUGAUUUCAGACAUUUAUGUUUAUUUCAGACAGUUGUUCAUUCUUAGACAGUUAUAUUUUAGAGUCCUAGUACGAUGACUUUCGGAUUUUGGGGUUGUAAUAGUUAGACUUCCGCAUUCAUUAACUAUUUAUGGCAUGACUAGACAGUUUG